rnacentral:lncRNA from 1 species
AUGAAAUUCACUGAGGAUGGAGCCUCCACUGCUGUAGAACUGAGAUGCUCCAUUGACAGUAACCCUGCUGCCCACAGCUACCACGGACAGCACGACAAAGGGUCUCAGCUCACCACGGGACCAUACACACUUAACCCUCUACUGCACUGCAAUCAACUCAGAGACCCCCCUGAGAUCAAAGUGGACUCUGCCUGCACUUCAGACGUUUACUUGUCUGUGCAUUGUGGAUUCGGAGCCCACCGGAACCGUGGAGAGGUCUCAUCCAGCUGGACCCCUGCCCAAUACCAGGGUGAGAGGCAUGAGUCAGUCACCAUGGUGACCCUACAGAGGGCACUAGGCUUCUCACAGACCGUCCACUGCCAUGCCAACAAGGCACAGGGCAAUGCCACCUUGUCCUUCACUGUGCCCACAAAUGAUAAGGGAAACAGUGGGUGCAUUUGUGGUGGUAGUAAUAUUAAUUCCCAUGUCAGCUUGCCUGUUGACCAAGAAGGGGUAAGUUACUCUUUUAUUUAUUUUUGGACGGAGUUACGUAGGUUUUUAUUUGGUUUUAGCGGUUGUGUUCUGUUUUGAUAACUUACCAUUAUUUUUUACAUCAGUGAAAGGAGUUGUAGUGACCAGCCAAUAACCAGUAUGUAGGACAUGGAUGCAUCCAAGUGUGCUUCCUCAGAUCCCUCAAUGUGAUCAUGACCGUGGGUAGAUAUCUAGGGGUAGGAGUGAUUUAAAAAACAAAAUUAAACAGCUAUUUUGGUCCCCUCAUACAGAAGUAAUGAAGGCCCAGUGCACUACUUUUGUGACAAUUAAAAAUAUACCGUACCAGUCGAAAGUUUGGACACACCUACUCAUUCAAGGGUUUUUCUUUAUUUGUACUAUUUUCUACAUUGUAGAAUAAUAGUGAAGACAUCAAAACUAUGAAAUAGCACAUAUGGAAUCAUGUAGUAACCAAAAAAAGUGUUAAAGAAAUCAAAAUAUAUUGUAUAUUUUAGUUCUUCAAAGUAGCCACCCUGUGCCUUGAUGACAGCUUUGAACACUCUUGGCAUACUCUCAACCAGCUUAACCGAGAAUGCUUUUCCAACAGUCUUGAAGGAGUUCCCACAAAUGCUGGGCACUUCUUGGCUGCUUUUCCUUCACUCUGCGGUCCAACUCAUCCCAAACCAUCUUAAUUGGGUUGAGGUUGGGUGAUUGUGGAGGCCAGGUCAUCUUCCACUUUAUGGCAGGAUUGUUUUAGGUGUCUAGAGUAUAUCUGGAGAGAGGGAGAGAGCACUACAAUAUUUAGCUUUUGUUGUCAUAUUGAUGUGUCUUUCUCAUGGCUACUCAUGUAUUUCCAUGGAAAUAUAAAGUUUAUGUGGAAAGUAAUAAAUAUGUAUUUUUAAUAGCAUUCAUGAUUUGCGUACAUGUAAUAUACUAACUAUUACUCUUGUUAAAAAUAUGAAAUGGUAUUCAAUUUGGGGAAGAGCACAUUAUGACUUGUUUAGGACUCAAACUUUAGGACUUGAGACUUGGCUCAGACUUGCCUGUCUUGACUUGGGACUUGAGUGCUAAGACUUGAGACUUACUUGUGACUUGUAAAACAAUGACUUGGUCCCACCUCUGCAAACUACUAUACCAACGAUCAAAUAUAUGGCAACAUGGAGGUAUGUACUGUAGGCAUACUGUAGACAUUUACAGUAGAUAUCUGAGAUCUGAGAAGAACAUUGCCCUAAGUAGAAAGGAUAUAAAAAACAAUGAAGGUGUUGUUGAUGAUAGUAUCUCUGAUCUGGUUUCCUGUAGACUGAAGAGGAUAGCAACCAAUACAAGUGUGUGAACAUAACAGGAAUCAUGUGGGAGUCAGCUGGCUCAGACGCCAUGGUACUCAGUCUGUCAAAGGUUCCAGUAAAAUAUUAACAUUUUAACCCAACGUAGCAGAGCUGGUGACUGCUUAUAUUUGUUAGCUUUAUGUAGCUUUAUGGUUCUAAAGGCUAAAUAAAAUGGACACAUUCUUAUUUGGGUUCUGCCUUUAGUUUUAUGGCUUUUACGAGGUGUUUGUUUUUAUCUAUGGCUUUGGGUGAUUCAGAGUAAACCUGAUAUGAAUGGUUAUACAGGUAUAAUAGUUGAGAAUUGUAUAUACAAUAUAUUAUUGUUUUUGUGUUGCUCCUUUCAACUGUGUGUACUUAUGUGUAACUGACACUCAGGUCAACACAGUGCUUCUGUUGUCCACUUGAAUGUACAGACAGAUACAAUAUAGUGUAAUUUGUCAAAACAGGCCAUAUUGAGAUAUACUGUAUGCACUUGAGAUAGAGAAUUCAAAGAUUAUAAAGUAAAGUACCUUAAAAUCAUCUCCAGAUCAGUGGAAAUAUGAACAUGUGUAAAUGUUCAACAACAGUGAUCAAAUAAAAAUAUAUGUGUUUCAUUGCAUUUUAAUAUAGGCUGUAAUGUUUGUUUCUAAAUCUCCAAAUCUACUUCUGAGUUAUUUUUCAUCCUUUUUCUAUCACAGUUUAUUUUUUUACUGGGACACUGAUCCACAUUGAUUUGCUGUGUGGGGAAAAAUGAACAUAUUGUCAUAAAUCAACUUCAUAAAUCAACUUAAUGUACUGAAAGAAUGUAAAUAUCGAAGUAAUUUUGUCACCAAUGAGCUCUGUAAAUCAUAGUCUCCUCCUGUUGGUUAGUAGAAGGUAUUACAUCAUAUGUUUUUUAUUUAACCUUUAUUUAACUAGUAGGCAAGUCAGUUAAGAACAAAUUCUUAUUUACAAUGACGGCCUACCCCAGCCAAACCCAGACGAUGCUGGGCCAAUUAUGCGCCACCCUAUGGGACUCCCAAUCAC